CUUAUGUGUUUUGGCGCCCAUACCGGACGGGGUAUGGAGACGACCCGUUUCACCCUCAUACCGGACGGGGUAUUGAGGUUCAUGGUUUUAGUGCCCAUACCGGACGGGGUAUGGGGACGGCUCUGGAAUCAGGUUAUAAAUGUUAAGGGUUCACGGGUAGCGGGACCCCUAUGGAUCCCCAUGGAUACUAGUAGGCUGGUAAAUGAGGAAAAUGUGUUGUUUAAUGAUUGAAACGCAAAGGCGUGGUAAGUAUUUUAUUAUACAGUUCAUAUGAUUUCAUGAUGAUGAUAAUGUUAUU
rnacentral:lncRNA from 1 species